rnacentral:tRNA from 1 species
GCCGGGAUAGCUCAGUCGGUAGAGCAGAGGACUGA